GACAGAGGUGCCGAGCGUUAGGCGGAAUCACUGGGCUUAAAGCGUGUGUAGGCGGAUUUGUAAGUACCUUGUGAAAUCCCACGGCUCAACCGUGGAACUGCUCGGUAUACUGCUUAUCUUGAGCCACUUAGGGGCAGUCGGAACAGAUGGUGGAGCGGUGAAAUGCGUAGAUAUCCGAAGGAACAUCAGUGGCGAAAGCGGCUUCCUGGACCAGAACUGACGAUCAGGCACGAAAGCGUGGGGAGCAAACAGG
rnacentral:rRNA from 1 species